rnacentral:rRNA from 1 species
AAAUUGGAGAGUUUGAUCCUGGCUCAGAACGAACGCUGGCGGCGUGCCUAACACAUGCAAGUCGCACGAGAAAUCCUGGGCAACCGGGAGAGUAAAGUGGCGCACGGGUGAGUAACGCGUGGGUAACCUGCCCUUGAGUUGGGGAUAACCCCGCGAAAGCGGGGCUAAUACCGAAUAAUAUGUCAGUUUCCAUGGGGAUUGAAAUCAAAGGUAGCCUCUGCAUGCAAGCUAUUGCUCAAGGAUGGGCCCGCGUACCAUUAGCUUGUUGGUAGGGUAAUGGCCUACCAAGGCAACGAUGGUUAGCUGGUCUGAGAGGAUGGCCAGCCACACUGGAACUGAGACACGGUCCAGACUCCUACGGGAGGCAGCAGUGGGGAAUCUUGCGCAAUGGGGGAAACCCUGACGCAGCAACGCCGCGUGGGUGAUGAAGGCCUUCGGGUCGUAAAGCCCUGUCAGGUGGGAAGAAAAUUGUCGAUGUGAAUACCAUCGGCACUUGACGGUACCACCGGAGGAAGCACCGGCUAACUCCGUGCCAGCAGCCGCGGUAAUACGGAGGGUGCGAGCGUUGUUCGGAAUUAUUGGGCGUAAAGCGCGUGCAGGCGGUCGGGUAAGUCAGAUGUGAAAGCCUUCCGCUUAACGGGAGAAGUGCAUUUGAAACUGCUCGGCUGGAGUACGGGAGAGGAGAGUGGAAU